rnacentral:lncRNA from 1 species
GCAAAUCAGAUACCACCUCCUCCAGCCUGUACAUAUACCUGGCAGGUAUCCAUCCCACUUGGGGUUUCCUCUUUUGGCUUUGGAGACCCCCCUGUCUGUCUCUGUACAGGGGAGCCUCUUCCUUUUGUCUUCUCCCUUCCUUCUUGCCUAUUAACCUCUCUGCUCCUUAAAACUACUCCACGUGAGUCUGUGUCAUUUUUUUCUAAUUUGACUCGAGAUGAAGAACCUGGUGUUCCUCCACGAAUCGGAGCUGCAUCAUUUUCACGGGCUGGUAACAAGAAUAGAGAGCCAUCCACAGCCACAAGACGCAGAACCUCUUCUGGCAAAACGGUCCUGCCUCACCCAGAGAGCAUCAAAAACCCACCGUCUUCCCUGCUGCUGUCAUUAGGAACCAGGAGGCAUAUGACUGGGGCUUCUCCAGCCCUCUUCACUCCAUCCCUCUGAACAUGGUGGCCACAGUUAAGUGUUGGGAUUUUGAAUAGGUUGAGCUGAUUAUUAUGAAUUUUCAAGAGGUGGAGCUGAUUAUUAGUGUGAGUUCUGGGACUCCUAAGAAAUUAUCAGAUAAAGAUAGUACAUUUUUUUCCUCAGGUAUCAGUAACAUAUGGAUCAUAGAAGCCUGAGAUGGUGAGUGGAAUCUGAAAAUGAAAUCUAACAUUUACCAAAGACACAGAGAAGGAGAGAGACUGGAUUCAUUAUUCCGGCCUCUGAGUCUAGUCAGUCAGUUCUACUCUUGGGCUUCGUAGUUCUAUUCAUCAGUGAAUUCUUCUGUUUUGUUGAAAGCAGAUUGAGCAGGGCUUCCAGAAACCUGCACCCUAAGGAGCAUCAGCUGGUACAGAGAACCUGACCGAACCCACCGCUGUGUUUGACUGUGAAUGAGAGGAGGCACACAGAGAGGGCAGCCCACCAGGCAGGUGUGUCUCACAUCACUGAGGAGCCCUUUUCAUUCAAAGAUGAUCAGCUUAUAAAACACCAGUGAUGGGAAGUCCCAGGCAGGUCCCCCAGGACCUACAGCAGGGGCCAGCCAAGAAUGGCCAGCCGUCUCUCUACUGGGUCAGAAAGAAAUAACGAAAGGGGCUGAACUUGGCCGUGUGAGCUGUCAGCAUGGACGCCAGACCAGACCAAAAUCCAGAUUCCGACGGCUGCUCCCUAUAGCAGUGGAAACCCCAAACACAGAGAAGACAAAGCAACAGAGCAACUUCCUUACCCAGACCACGGGCAGCCCCAUCCUUCUCCAUCCCUCAGGUUGCUUGGUUACUGGACAUUGGCUUUGACUAUG